GGCCCGCACAAGCGGAGGAGCAUGUGGUUUAAUUCGAUGAUACGCGAGGAACCUUACCCGGGCUCGAACGUAUGAUGAAUAAGCUGGAAACAGAUUAGUCGAAAGACAUUAUACGAGGUGCUGCAUGGUUGUCGUCAGCUCGUGCCGUGAGGUGUCAGGUUAAGUCCUAUAACGAGCGCAACCCCUACUGUUAGUUGCCAGCAUGUAAAGAUGGGGACUCUAGCGGAACUGCCUACGCAAGUAGAGAGGAAGGUGGGGAUGACGUCAAAUCAGCACGGCCCUUAUGUCCGGGGCGACACACGUGCUACAAUGGUCGAUACAGAGGGCAGCUACUUGGUGACAAGGUGCAAAUCUCAAAAUCGAUCUCAGUUCGGAUCGGAGUCUGUAACUCGACUCCGUGAAGUUGGAUUCGCUAGUAAUCGCACAUCAGCCAUGGUG
rnacentral:rRNA from 1 species